GUUGUUUUAAUUUGCAAAAAUUCUUAAGCAUACUUACUUUGCAUUUAUUGCCUGAUCAAAACGGGAUCUUAGGAGGGUAAUGUCAUACUCUUAGAUCAAAGACUUUGGAAAUUAAAAUCUUUGUCAACUCUUGCUGGCAUAUUGCUUAUUAGAGGGACCAUGGGCUAUCAUUUUCUCUUUUUUCCCUUUUUUUUAAGUGGAUACCGAGGUAUCCCUAAUUCUACUGCCGGACACUUAUCCAUUUUUCUGCGAGGUUGUCGAGCACUUGCUCCUUUUUAUUUCCUCGAAAUAUCUCUAUUUCUUGCAUAGCCCAUGCCUCUAAUGCAAUAAUACUUCGGAAGAGUGAAUCUUUCUGAAUAAAUGUCUUGAUCUUAGGAGCAUGAUAAAUCUCUCAACAAGGGUCUAACUCAUUUUGAACAAACUCAAUACAGAGUAGAUAGCUUUUAUAAUCAUAAUUAAUAUUUUCAGUUUUAUCAGGCAUAUAAAACACUGAGGAUGGUAGCUAGAAUUUUAAAGAUUUUGAAAUAAAUUCUCCAAGCAACAAUGAUAUCAAGAAUAAGAAACUCAUACUCUACCAUCUCACAUUCCAUAUUGACUUAAGUAACACAGGGA
rnacentral:lncRNA from 1 species